GCGGGGAGGGGAUCCAUUUACCAAUUUUUUNAAUAUUAAGUUUGGGGGCGGACAAACUUGUUGUUGGUUCUUCUGAAAAANUACUAUGUUAAACGUUGAACUAGAUCAUUGGUGUGGAUUGCUUGGGAANGGUUAGAAGNGACAAGCCUCUUUCCGGACAGGCAAACCNCACAUCGAUAACCUUUUCAUAACUUACAACUAGUACAUACUACAAACAAAACAAAAGCUAUAAUAGGACUUACUAUAAGCUGAGUGGGUAAAAGCCUCGACUUUAAACUAAUAACUAUUACAACUUUCAGCAAUGGAUCUCUAGGCUCUCGCAUCGAUGAAGAACGCAGCGAAUUGCGAAACGUAAUGUGACUUGCAACCCUCGUGAAUCAUCGAAUCUUUGAACGCAUCUUGCACUAUUCGGCUUCCCCGGAUAGUAUGCCUGGUUGAGUGUCUGUGUAUCUCUCCUACUUCAAUGUUUUUUUGGAAUGUUAGAAUAGGGACUUGGGGUCUUUNCUUGUNGGAAACCUUCAUUGGCUCCCGGUGAACCCUUUAAAUAUAGUAAGCUCCCAUCUUUUUUGGAAAUACGCAAACUUGGGGAUGGCGUCGUAGCAAUCUUUUGUAUUGUCGAAACGCCUAUAACAACUCCUAUAAUCUGCGGUGCUAAUCCAUUCGAGNGGGUGAAGCUUGACGACUGGCAAAGNCCCAUGCUCUAUUUAUUUCAGAGUACACGAACAAUAAUGACCUCAACUCCAGGAGGACGACCCGUGAC
rnacentral:rRNA from 1 species